CCCUACGGGGCGCAGCAGGCGCGAAAACUUUACAAUGCGGGAAACCGUGAUAAGGGGACACCGAGUGCCAGCAUCAUAUGCUGGCUGUCCAGGUGUGUAAAAUACACCUGUUAGCAAGGGCCGGGCAAGACCGGUGCCAGCCGCCGCGGUAACACCGGCGGCCCGAGUGGUGAUCGUGAUUAUUGGGUCUAAAGGGUCCGUAGCCGGUUUGGUCAGUCCUCCGGGAAAUCUGAUAGCUCAACUAUUAGGCUUUCGGGGGAUACUGCCAGACUUGGGGCCGGGAGAGGUAAGAGGUACUACAGGGGUAGGGGUGAAAUCCUGUAAUCCC
rnacentral:rRNA from 1 species